rnacentral:rRNA from 1 species
UACGGAGGGGGCCAGCGUUGUUCGGAAUCAUUGGGCGUAAAGGGCGUGUAGGCGGCUUUUCAAGUCGGGCGUGAAAUCUCCGGGCUUAACCUGGAAGGGUCGUUCGAUACUGUUGAGCUAGAGUGUGGAAGAGGCUACUGGAAUUCCGUGUGUAGCGGUGAAAUGCUUAGAUAUGACACAGAACACCGAUUGCGAAGGCAGCUCACAAAACUGUAACUGACGCUGAGGCACGAAAGCGUGGGUAUCAAACAGG